rnacentral:rRNA from 1 species
AUGAAUAUUCUUGCUUGGAGCUGUAGAGGAUUGGGGUUGGACUCGACAGUUGGCGAACUCAGAGACCUGAUUAGGUCCUACAACCCAGCCGUGGUGUUUUUAUCUGAAACCAAAAAGAAGGCUCGUACGAUGGAGAGGCUCAAGUGGAGGCUAGGGUUCAGAAGUGGAGUGGCAGUUGAUUGUCAGGGUUUGAGUGGUGGGCUUACACUAUGGUGGAGAGAGAACGUGCAAGUUACAAUCCGACCAUGGUGUCAGUACUUCAUUGAUGCACAGAUUAACGUCGAGGGCAAAGCCUGCAGAUUCACCGGUUUCUACGGUGAACCAAAGAUGGAGUUGCGCCAAAAGAGUUGGGAUGCUCUUCGGUUUCUUCGUACCCAGGAUGAUCUCCCAUGGCUAUGUGCAGGAGACUUUAAUGAGAUUCUUGAACAAGCUGAACAACUAAGGGGGGACCUGAGGAGUUUUACACAAAUGAAAGCUUUCAAUGAAUACUUGUCCGACUGCGGGCUAGCUGACUUAGGCUUCUCUGGAUAA